AUGUAGAUAUAUAAAAUAUUAGAUAUGUGCGGUUUUGUAUGUACCGCUAAUUACGUAUGCUAUUAUCAGCUGCACUUCGAUGACUUAGUUGUUACGUAACCACUAGAUGAUGUUUACUUUCUGUUUUAAAUUGUAAAUGUCAAAUCCGCAAGAAUGACUGAACCGCACAAUUAUUUGAACUUAGCAAAUCCACGGACCUGAGCUCACAUACUGCGGUUAUAUAUACACAGUGAUUCAAAAAAUUGUGAAUUAGAUUCGGAUAAGAGUCAGUCAAAAUAAGCAUAGUUCCUGACGAUCUUUUAUAUUUUAUACCAAUUUAAAAAAUGAUUUCAAUGACAUGAAAACUCUGUAUCUCAUAAUUCUGUAUUUUUAGAAAAUGAGUAAAGAUAUCGAUUUAGAAGAUAAUUGUGUUGAAAAAGGAGGAAACACACUUGGGAGGAUAAAUUAACUGGAUGCAGAGCAAGAAAGACACGAGCGCUUAACAAUGAAAUGUCUUUUUCAUUUACAAUUACAAAGAAUGUACACGCUUAUAAACAAACAAAGAGAAAUGCGCCAAGAAGUACAGUACAGAUCUGACGCAAUGCCAUAAAGCUCUUUGCGUGGAAAGGUCUCAUAAAAAACUGCCAGAGAUGCUAGACUCGAUUAUUUAUCGAAUCGUGAGAUGAAUUAUAGUCUGGUGUGUCGCAGGCCGACUUCGGCUGUUGCCUAUGGAGUAAGAAACUAAUCAGCGGUUACGUGUUAUACAAGUUCGAUCGUCCGUUUCGGUGCACGACGGAGUGCUUGGAAGUGACUUUCGUCGCUUGGAUCAUUUAUCAGUGUCGUCAUGUACAGCACACAUAUCACAGCAUACCUUCAACGAGCUUGCACUUGCUAGAAUAAUAAUACAAUUUCGUCAUCGUGCCUCGAAGUAAGGUAAUCCACCGUACGAGAACAAAAAUAUCGAAACGAAAAAUCUUAUCGUCUUCUUAUCGGUAAUAUAUCAGCAUCUUGAUGGAAUUUUUGCGACGGUACGUACGUUGUAUGUUACGAAACAUAGCGAAACGUGGAGGUGUUCAACGUUCAACAUUUAGAAAAGAAAGACUUGACAUGAAAGAAAGCUGUAAAUAUUAAAAACGAAAAUCUUGGAAAAAGCCGAACAAUAUUUUAUUUAUGUCUGAAAAAAAAUGCUGCAGAAAAAGAUAGUUUUUUGUAUCUAUUUAAUAUUUCAUAAAUAGCAAUUGAAGCUUUUAAUGCGUUGUCGGCCUCGCCGCAGAAAGUUUCCCAAUAAAAAGCAAGUUUCCGAUAAUGAUUGAUUUACAGCCUUUUCAUAUCAAAUCUUUGAAAGUGGAUAAAAUUCAAGUAAACGGUGUGGCGACAAAUUAUUGCGCAGAUAUAAAUUAAAGAGCUUCGUGAGAAAAUAUAAUAACGGUGUAGAUACUUAAUCCCUGAAACGCGCAGGAAUGCUCGUGAUCAAAGCUAAUCGACGAAAUGAACUGUCCGUCCGGGGACAGGCAAUUGAUUUAUAACAAUGUAAAUUAAUGUUGCACUUUCGUUAUCAAUACAAUAUAACUCCUAACGUGUAUUUAUACGUAAAUUAAAAACUAGUAUCGCCUUGCGGAAUAUCUCCUUCGAAGUAAUCGAACGAAAUCGAAGCACUGAGAAUGAUAGAGACCCAAGUCACACUUCUACCUAAAAAAACCAGUUUAACAAAAUUGUCCUAUGAGGGAAUGUUUUCUAACUACAUCCGCAAUCACGCAAAGCGACUCGAAAGGACGUCUAAAAAAUUCUUUUACACAUUUCUAAAAUGUAUUUUACAAACGUUCAUGUUGUCGGACAAUCGUUCAAUGUAUGGCAUCGCAAUGAGCAAGUUAGAGCGAGUUAUUCGUUAUGGCUUAUAGAAUAUAUUCUCUAGACUAUCCUUUCAAUCUGCCUCCUAAAAUCGACUCUUUGUGGCUUAGGUCUAUAUAAAUUUCAACGCUUCAAACAAUAAAUACACGGAAAAAACGCUGUCGGUGAAACGCCGAAACCGACGCGUCCCGCCGAUCGAGACGCACGUGCUUUGCCUACUGGAGCAAACUUUAUUCGGAAUGGUACACAACGCAUCAUCAGACAUACACAGGUAUACGUAUGUACAUGUAUACACAAAUUGCUUUCGACUCGCGGAUCUCCGCGUUGAAAGAGGCGCGAAGUCGCGUAACAUCGUCGCCGCCGCGACAGUACCGAGGGAAAGAAGGAAAAGAGGAAGAAGAGGAAACGAUAUGCACCGGAAGAGCGGCUUACCGAAACGAAAGCGCUGUAUGUGUGAGUAUGUGUGUUUUUUUUUUCAAGCAUUAAGCUACGCGUGAGCUGCGCCCCGCAAACAACUUGAAAAGAAUUCGCAGAAAUCCACUUCGCGAGUUUCGAAUCGAUUUUCGA
rnacentral:lncRNA from 1 species